rnacentral:lncRNA from 1 species
AGUGGGAGCUGAGGCAUGGGGCACAGGGUUUUAUAAAGAGAGCAUGAUCUAAGGUAAGAAAAUCCAGGAUAGGGGCUUUGAACUGUGUAGCAAGUACUUGUGAGUAGGGACUGAGGGAGCCUGGCAUGGGUUUUGAUACACAGCCACAAGUCCGCGUCACUGGAACCCUGUGUCCCUUCUGCCAGAGGUAAGGGAAGUGACUCCUUUUGGCAGAGGGGAACCAGUUUCACAAGUUCCUGAGGAAUGCUGGCUUUUAUCUAACCACUAGAAACCCUCUUAUCGUUCAGGCUGAGCUGGACCUAGACUCAAUUUUGGACCUCAGUGUGCCUGCCCUUUUCUUGGGGUGGGCAGGUGGGUGAGAGGUGAUAGGGUGAUUUUUUCCCCCUCCUUAUAAACUCCACCAAUGUUACAUUCUGGUCACUAAAAUGUAUGUGGAUUUCUCCUUCCAACAAACAUUUUCUAGGGAUGCAGUGUUGUUGUGUCUUAACAAUUUAGCUUGGUUCUAACAUUGUCUACUGGAGAUGGCAUCAGAACCAACAAAUUCUGGAGUGUCUCAGGAUUGCCCCGCCCCCACCUCCGCUUCAGACCGACUGCAGAUAGUAAGUUGUUGCCUAGAGUCCUGAUUGACUACCCCAAAUCCGAAGUUCCCAUCCCUCCUCCCCAGCAUUCAUUAAUUGGCUAGAGCAACUCACAAAACAGAAAAACCCUUCCGUUUGCUUUUACUGGGCAUAAUGAAGAGCCAGAUGGGUGCAAAAUGCUGGGGUGUGGGGGAGGGGCGGGGGAGAGGAAUCCACGUGUUCAGCUGUGUGGAGACCCUCCAAGUUAUGGUUGUGAAUCACCAUGUGGUUGCUGGGAAUUGAACUCAGGACCUCUGGAAGAGCAGUCAUUGCGCUUAACCACUGAGCCAUAUCUCCAGCCACCUGACGUGAACUCUUCAGCGACAGGCUAGCCUCUGCCUCUUGAGUGCUGGGAUUAAAGGCAUGUACUACUCUGCCUGGGUUCUCUCUCUUCUUAGAUUUUAUGUAUAUGAGUGUUUUGCCUAUUGUGUGUCUGUGUAAGCCUGGUUCCCAAAGAGGUCAGAGAAGGGGAUCAGAUCAUCUGACACUGGAGUUACAGAUAGUUGUGAGCUGCCACGUGGGUGUUAGAAAUCAAAGCGUAUCCUCUGGGAGAGCAGCCAGUGCUCUUAACUGCUGAGCCAUCUCUCUAGCCCCUCAAAUAUCUGGUUCUUCUUAUAUUAUCAUGCACCAGAGAGGAAUGAAGGACCACAGCUCUGGAAGGACCUUUCUUGAACACAUUUAAAGAUAACAGAGAUCUGGGAAUGAUGGUUUAGGCAGGACACAUGGAUAGCUAGUCAGGAAGAGCAUCCUUCAGUUCGGUGCAGCUCCUGAUGGUACAGGGACCAGUUUACAGCUGGCUCCAAGCAUCAGCUGACAAGAGGAUCCAACCUAGCAUUGUCACGGAUCUUAAAUGAAGCCAACACGUUAGCAAACCAGGUGGUUUGGAGUUGGGCCGUAUCAGAUGCCCAGAGGAAGGACACAAAUCACCAUGCCUCUGUAACCAGCAUGCCACAGGACCUGAGGAGAGUACAGCUAGCAUUAUUUUAAAGAUACAGACAACAUCGUAAGCCUGUGGGAGACACAUGCAUGGGGAAGGGGGUUCGGGGAGGGGGUUAAUUCCCUCAUCCAUUAUCAAUAAUCAUUUGCAUUGCUAUGUGAUUAGAUCUAUUUGAGGGAAAAACAAAAGCAAAAACCAAAACAAAACCUUGUUGGUCAGGCAUGGUGGUGUACACCUUUAAGCCCAGCACUCAGAAGGCAAAAGCAGAGGUAGGUGGAUGUCGAUGCAUUCAAGUCCAGCCUGGGCUAUAUAAUCACAUGCUGUCUAGAAACAAAACAAGCAGGCAUGUGUUUGGAGAAGGGUGGUCUAUGGCCGUUUGUUGCCACUGAACUCUACUGAGAACCCAG